UGAGAGCUCUCUCCUGGGACCGGAGGGCAGUCCCGGAGGACGGCAGGAGGCGGCGGCCGGCGGAGCCGAUGCGCGCGCUCCUGGCGACGGAGGACAGGUUCAGAGACUGGGGAGGGGCGGCCUAAUUACGGCACGUUGGCCCAGCGCCGCAGAGCGCCGCGGAUGAGAGCGGCGGAGCCCUACAGCCAUCAAAAUGUCUAAUCUGCAACAGAUUGGAGGUUCCCCAAAAAUUCAACGGAGCUGUGUGUCCCUACCCACAGACGGGAGACAGAGAUUUGUAGACACAGAGACACAGAGACACAGAGAAGAGAGCCAUGGACGAGGGAGGCAGAGAUUGGAAUGACGCAGCUAUAAGCCAAGAAACACCAAGUAUUGCCGGCAAACACCAGGAGCUAGAAGAGAAGCAUGGAACAGAUUCUCCCUCAGAGCCUCCAAAAGGAACAAACCCUGCUGACACGUUGAUUUUGGGCUCUGGCCUCCUUAACUAUGAGAGAAUAAAUUUCUGUUGUUUUAAGCCACCAAGUCUGUGGUAAUUUGUUAUGGCAGCUCUAGGAAAUAAAUACAGUCACACACACCACACACACACACACUGCUGGCUCUAGGCUCAGCGAUGAGGUUGGUGGAGUUCCUCUUGGGGGCUGCUCUGUCUCUGUCCUCCUUCCCCUGUGACUGGUCUGGUGAACCCAAAAAAGCUCAUGGCCCAGGGCAGGAGCUCAAUAAUUUUAACCCUCCUUGCCUCCCUGGAGUUCUUAACUAGGCAUCUCCCUCUAAAUCUGCUCUCAGGAAUGGGUCGCCAUGUUUAUAUGCACCAAAAGACAUGUCCAAGAACGCUAUGGCUGCUUUACUCCUAUUAAUUAAAAACUGGAAACAACCCAAAUGCCCAUCAACAGCAAAAUAGAUAAAUAAAUUGUGGCAUGGCCACUCAAUGGCAGGCUACUCAGCCAUGAAAAAGGAAGACCUAGUGCUGCAGGAACAGCAUGGACAACCCUCACAGACCCCGUGUUGACCACACUGGGCCAUAUACAGAGUACAUGCUCUAGGAGUCCACGUGCAUGAGGUACAAGAACAGGCAGAGCCAAUCUGUAGGUGAUAUGAGUCAGAAUAGUGGUUACCUCUGAGGGAGGGGAU